CUACGGGAGGCAGCAGCUAAGAAUAUUCCGCAAUGGACGAAAGUCUGACGGAGCGACGCCGCGUGGACGAUGAAGGCCGGAAGGUUGUAAAGUCCUUUUUAAUAUGAGGAAUAAGGAAGGUGAGAGAAACGCCUUCUGGUGACUGUAGUAUUAGAAUAAGGGGCGGCUAAUUACGUGCCAGCAGCCGCGGUAAU
rnacentral:rRNA from 1 species